ensembl:lncRNA TEX41 testis expressed 41
GAUUCUUAGGAAGACCCUGGCCUCCAUCUUGAAAACGGAAAAUAAAAACAGCAGACCUAUGAAGGUCGAAGGGGAAGAAAAGCUGUAUCGAUUGUUGAGAUCUGGCGACUUGUUUAAAUUUCAUCAGCCUCACUUCUAUGAACUCUCAGGCCUCACGUGUACCAGCUCUCUGCUCUCCUUUGCCUUGGGACGUUCCAUCCCUGGAAGUUUCCCUGCCCACAUCUUUGUAGAGAGUCCAUUCUCCAAGCUUCAGUGUGUCAUCUGUGAGGACCGUGACCCACCUGGUACAUCGCCUCAGGGCAUUCAUUUCAGGCUCCUUCUAAAUGGCCAAGGCCAUGAGAGAAGCAGUACCUUAUAAUGGUUCCUUGUUCAAAGCACUCAAUAUUCCUAGGAUGUGGUCUCCCAGCUGACUUCAUAACUGAAUCAUCAGUAAUUAAUUUCAUUGUUCUAUUAGAUGACCUCAACCUCUUGGCCAUUUGCUCUGUGUUUCACACAGGACUUUACUGAAGACUCUAAGGAGGACCUGUAUCUGUUGGGAUCCUCAGGGCAAGCCACAGAAACAAGCUUUGGAUACUAGAAGCAGAAAAUGGAGAUAUUGAAGACUAUUGUGGAGUUUACUGUGAGCCAGAGAACCAGGCUGGGGGGCUGUAUCACUUAGAAUGAGAUCCAAACUCACACCAUAGUUCCAUCCUUGAGGUUGCCAUGUUGCUGCCACCCCUCCUGCCACCCCACCACUGAAGCUUUGGAUGCUGGAUUCUGGGCACAGCAGGGAGAAGUGUUGCUUAUUACCAUUUUAGUAUGUUUUCUUUCAAGACCUUUUCAAAAUAUACAUACGUAUUUUUAUUUCUAUUCAAAAUGGGAUACAUUUUUGAAGGUUAGCAAUAUAUUGUGAACAUUUUCUUUCCAUGCUCAGAAACAUUUUUCUAUAAUGUAAUUUAUAGUGAUAUAAACUAUCUCAUAGACCUACCAUAGUUUACCUAACAAAUCCCAAAUCAUUUGUGCCAUUUCUAAAUUUUUAUUAUUUUAUGUAAUGCUUUAAUGAACAUCCUUGCAUUUAUAUUUUAUACAAUUUUAGAAGUGGAAUUACUGGUUCAAAAUACAUGGUGAUUUUUAAUUCUUCUGUUGAAUAUUGACAAAUUGCAAUCCUGAGAGUUAUCUUGAAGGAUAGAGUACAUGCCCAGGGUUCUUUUUUAAGAAAUAAUUUGUAAUGUGAAACAGAAUAGGCUAAAUGUUUUUUAUUCUCUUAGUCCUACUCUGUCAUUCUGCAGAGUUUCACUUAUUUGGAUUCAAAUUCUAAUUCCAGCCUACCUCUCUUUUUAUAUAAUUGUUAGGAGGAUUAAAUUAGAUGCAUAAAAUUGCUGCUUACUACAUACAUUGCACAAACUAAAAACUUUUCAAAGGUUAACUGUUUUUCUGGUUUAUUUUUAAGACACAGGUUCUUGCUCUGUUGCCCAGGCUGGAGUGCAGUGGUGUGAUCACGGCUCACUAUAGCCUCAUCCUGCUGCACUGAAGUGAUCCUCUUGCCUCAGCCUCCUGAGUAGCUAGGACUACAGGCACGUGCCACCAUACCCAGCUAUUUUUUUAAAAAUACAUUUUUGUUGAGGCUGGGUCCCCUUUGUUGUCCAGGCUGGUCUUAAGCUCCUGGCCUCAAGCAAUCCUUCCACUUCUACCUCCCAAAGUGUUGAGAUUAGAGGUGUGAGCCACUCCACCUGACCCAAAGGUUAACUAUUAUUAUUGUUAUUAUUAGUCUGUUUUUUUCCAUUCAUUUCCUCAUUAGUCAACUUUUAUUGUUUCAAUGUUAUUUUAUUGUUUUUCAAAGACUCCUUAUAGUCACAAUAUGUACAUAAUAAAUUUUACCCUUUAAGGACA